rnacentral:tRNA from 1 species
GGGCCGGCGGUCCGGCGGCUCGUCACCGGCGUCCUCCGGUGGCGGCGGCAGGAUCGCCCGGUUCGGCUCCGGCUCGGUCUC